UCGCUAACAAAUUGGCAGCUAAGUGUGACCUACAACUCCCAGUGUCACAGCAGCAGCUGUUGCCUGAUGCUGUGAUGCUGGAAACCAUGAGCAACAUCUGUAGGGCCCCCAGGUUAAAGUUUACUCCUAUAGGCAAUAGGAGAUAAAAUAAGGAAUUUUGCUACUCAGUUGACUUUCUUACUUAAAAUUUCAAAUUUCCUAAAAGGGUACUAAAAACAUACCUUCUAUAACAAUCAAUGAGUUUUUCAACAUAAUAUAUGACGUUUAUCUUGUAACAUUAUCUGCUGUGCUAUUCUGAGCACUGUCAGGCUUAUAAUGAACCCCAUUUUAUAAGCUGCCAUCCAUAGAGUUUUUAUUAUUAUAUUUUUUAGCCUGGAGCUACACGUAAUUGAAAUGCUGUUUCCAGGACGAAUGCACACAGGAUAACUGGGAGUUCUGUGUGCGCUAAUUGAUAUGUGUGAGGUCGCACUGGCCUACCAGGUUUCUGGGAGAGAUUCUAGUGGGCUCCAUUCCUGCUGGAAACUACUGGGGGGCUUGACCGAAGUGAUCACCGGUGAUGGGAGCUGACAGCCCUUAGCAGCAGCUUGCAGCAGACCAAAGUUGAUGACAAUGUUCCCUGCUCACAUACAGAAAACAGGACGAGGAGGUGAAGUGUGGCAAGAGGGAGGUGUUACUGGUGUAGUGGAAACAAAAAGACCGGAAGACAAUAGCAGUUCUCCUGGAAAAGUGAUUGUCAAAGAGUAUGAUGGGGCAGAGAUACUGCAAAAAAGGGACUCAUUUAUGAAGCAAGGGUUAAAUUCUGCCAAAUGGUAUAUAGAAGGUGGCCGCCAAAUAACAUCCACAACAACCCCAACAUGAUGCGCCAAUACAACCUAAGCACUUGGAGCAAGUCAGUUGUAACUAUGGACAGAAUUUAAGGAAUCCUGGAAUUACCAUGCAAUUCAACCAAGAAGGAUGUGUGGACAUAAGUACUGUUUGUGGACAUAGGCAAUGCUAUAUACUGUAUAUUGUACUUCUGUUUGUAAAUGAGUCCUCAAUAUACUGCAGUAGACAGACUAAUUCUCUGUAGAUUUACUCUAAAGAUUAGGAAAUGAAUGACACUGAUGUUUUCUUUUUAAUCAUACAUCUAAACUGAGAUGUUAGGUUUCAUUAACCAGAGAAGACCAUUUUCAUUUAGCAUCUGCAAUCAGUUUUUGUUGUUCAGAAUAAAAGUAAUAAUUGUUUUAUUGGUAAAGAGAUUUUGCGGAGGCAACCAGUUAAAUAUUUAAACUCUCUGGUGGUUGCAGACGAGUUUCUCACAGAUACAAUAAAUGUUCUGAGCUUUUAUUCCCCUAUUUAGGUAUUUAAGGGUAGAUAAUAUUAAUCUGCUUACUGUAAUUCAAUAAACCAUCUGCCCCUUUCAAAGCUUUUUAAUCA